CAGUAGCCACGGUAAUACGAAGGGGGCUAGCGUUGUUCGGAUUUACUGGGCGUAAAGCGCACGUAGGCGGACUUUUAAGUCAGGGGUGAAAUCCCGGGGCUCAACCCCGGAACUGCCUUUGAUACUGGGAGUCUUGAGUUCGAGAGAGGUGAGUGGAAUUGCGAGUGUAGAGGUGAAAUUCGUAGAUAUUCGCAGGAACACCAGUGGCGAAGGCGGCUCACUGGCUCGAUACUGACGCUGAGGUGCGAAAGCGUGGGGAGCAAACAGGAUUAGAUACCCCCGUAGUCCCUGUCUCUUAUAC
rnacentral:rRNA from 1 species